rnacentral:rRNA from 1 species
GCCUUAGUACUGCGAGUGAAGCGGCAAAAGCUCAAAUUUGAAAUCGGGGUCCUUUUCGGGCUUCGAGUUGUAAUUUGGAGGGAUAACUUCGGUACGGACUACAUCGUAAGUUCCUUGGAACAGGACGUCAUAGAGGGUGAGAAUCCCGUGUCUUGGUGUUUGGCCGUGCCAUGUGAAGUGUCUCCGACGAGUCGAGUUGUUUGGGAAUGCAGCUCAAAAUGGGUGGUAAAUUUCAUCUAAAGCUAAAUAUUGGCGAGAGACCGAUAGCGCACAAGUAGAGUGAUCGAAAGAUGAAAAGCACUUUGAAAAGAGAGUUAAAAAGUACGUGAAAUUGUUGAAAGGGAAGCGCUUGCGACCAGACUCGAUCUUUGGUGAUCAGCCGGGCUUCUGUCCGGUGCCCUUACCAUUGAUUGGGCCAGCAUCGGUUCUGGCGGUGGGAUAAAAGGAGGAGGAAUGUGGCUCCCUUCGGGGAGUGUUAUAGCCUCCUUCACAAUGCCACCAGUUGGGACCGAGGACCGCGCUUCGGCUAGGAUGCUGGCGUAAUGGUCUUAAGCGACCCGUCUUGAAACACGGACCAAGGAGUCUAACAUCUAUGCGAGUGUUCGGGUGGAAAACCCUUGCGCGUAAUGAAAGUGAACGGAGGUGUGAACCCUUUACCGGGUGCAACAUCGACCGGUCCUGAUGUCUUCGGAAGGAUCUGAGUAAGAGCAUAGCUGUUGGGACCCGAAAGAUGGUGAACUAUGCCUGAAUAGGGUGAAGCCAGAGGAAACUCUGGUGGAGGCUCGCAGCGGUUCUGACGUGCAA